UUUAUUUACAUAAGAGGCAGAACCUUAAGCGUCCAAUCUCAAUUGAAUCAACGGCAUUUGAGUGGUCUGACGUUGGUGUCUUUCCAGACUAUAGAUAGGAAGCGUUUACCAAGAGCAAUUGUUGCAUGAGGCUUGCUCCGGUGCACCCCCCUAACUCAAUUUCCUAGGGGUAUUCUUGACCCCCGCCAUCUAUUUUUUCUCCGGCCCGCCGCUGCCCAUAUCCAAGCCCCGUAGCCCAUAUCCAAGCCCUGUAUAACCCGUAUGACCCAUACGUAUGUAUACGGUGACAUCCCAAAAAAAAAGGAUGACACGACCCCACGACCAGGUAAGACCUGCCGACGGCCGAUCCAUCAAUCACGCAGCUCAAUCAAUCACGCAGAUCCAUCAUUCACGCAGCUCCUCCAUCAUUCUGGUGAGGUUCUCUAGGAAUAUCGGCGGCAACGAUCUUAUCGCCGGCGAUCUCGUCCGAGAGCGCGCGCGGCACCGUCGUCAACCUCCAGCGCUCGCAGGAAAUGGCGGACGAUGAGUUAACUGAUAUGAUGUAUGACAUGGAGUUUGGAGAACUGAUGAAAGACUGGAUAGAAGAUUGGUCAGAUGAUGAAAAUUCAGAUCGUGGAGAUAGGUCAGAGAAUGGGAACGUAUUGGAAGAUCUUAAUGAAAACAAUGAGCAUGAUGAUGGUGAGGAAAACAACUCGGAGAUCUCGAAUGAAGAUUACAUUAGUCAGGUAUGGAAGUGGAAUUUUUUGUUGGCAUGCAUGCAAAUUGAAUUAAUCCUGGAAUAUUAUAUGAUAAGUACUUAUGUAUUUGUGUUAUAUUU